rnacentral:rRNA from 1 species
CCGGAGCUAAUACCGAAUAACCCAGUGAACUGCAUGGUUCACUGGUAAAAGGCGGUUUCGGCCGUCACUCAUGGAUGGGCCCGCGGCGCAUUAGCUAGUUGGUAAGGUAACGGCUUACCAAGGCAACGAUGCGUAGCCGACCUGAGAGGGUGAUCGGCCACACUGGGACUGAGACACGGCCCAGACUCCUACGGGAGGCAGCAGUAGGGAAUCUUCCGCAAUGGACGAAAGUCUGACGGAGCAACGCCGCGUGAACGAUGAAGGUCUUCGGAUCGUAAAGUUCUGUUGUUAGGGAAGAACAAGUACCAGAGGAAAUGCUGGUACCUUGACGGUACCUAACCAGAAAGCCACGGCUAACUACGUGCCAGCAGCCGCGGUAAUACGUAGGUGGCAAGCGUUGUCCGGAAUUAUUGGGCGUAAAGCGCGCGCAGGCGGUUUCUUAAGUCUGAUGUGAAAGCCCACAGCUCAACUGUGGAGGGCCAUUGGAAACUGGGGAACUUGAGUACAGAAGAGGAGAGUGGAAUUCCACGUGUAGCGGUGAAAUGCGUAGAUAUGUGGAGGAACACCAGUGGCGAAGGCGACUCUCUGGUCUGUAACUGACGCUGAGGCGCGAAAGCGUGGGUAGCAAACAGGAUUAGAUACCCUGGUAGUCCACGCCGUAAACGUUGAGUGCUAG